GUGCAAACUUGAUCACUAACUUACAUGGUGAUGCGGAAGUGAAGGGAACCAGGCUGGCUAAAGUGAUUGUGGUGACAGAAGUGUAUUAGCUUCAGGAGCUACUGAGAUGGUCCAUUCUAUGCCAGUACAGUA